CUAACCUUCACUUGCCUGAGUGCCUAACAUGAAGAAGGAGAACCUCUAACACAGGAAUGAUGAAGAAUACAUAACACAGUUCUAAAAUAAGCACCUGGUUCCUGGUUAAGAAAAAUCUCUGGAGAGGCAUGGCUGCUAAAUGGUGUCUGUUUCUAUAAACACAAAAUAUGUCAUUAAUCCAGCUUUAUCCCGGAGAGGAGAGAAUGAAGCCAGAUAUGCUCGGUUAUGUUUGAGCCCUGAAGACUGUAAAGAGGAUCCCCUCCACUGGUUUUCAGCACAGGGGUUUUCAGGCUGCCAUGCACGACCGUUCCAGAAGCAAAACCAAACAGCAGCUGAAAAGAACUGGUGUUUAAUGCAUAUGUAUGGAGUCUAGAAAAAUGGUACUGAUGAACCUAUUUUUAAGGCAACAGGGAAGACACAGACAUAGAGAACAGACUCAUGGACACAAGAGGCGGAAGCAGAGGGUGAGACGAAUUGAGAGAACAGCAUUGAAGCAUUCACAUUACCAUACGCACAACUGGACAGCCAGUGGGAAUUCGCCUUAUAAGCAGGGAGCUCAACCCGGUGCUCCGUGACAGCCUAGAGGGGUGGGACAGAGUGGGAGGUGGGAAAAAAAAAGUACUGCUCAUCCCUCAAGAGGUUUCCCAAAAACUAUGUUCCAAAAAGAGAGCUUCCCCGGAAAAAAAAAUUAAAAUUGUAUAUUGAAGUAACUGCUACCUUGAGUAACUGGCUAGGUGUGUAGCUGGCCACAUGUCUUGAGGAAGGACC